GGUCUUUUGUUUAUUAUAUAAGAUCGGACCUGCCCAUUGAUUAUAAAUAUUAAAAGGCUGCGGUAUUUUAACUGUACGAAGGUAGCAUAAUCAUUUGUCUUUUAAUUGAAGGCUAGUAUGAAUGGUUUGAUGAAAUAUAAACUUUCUUUAAAUAAUUAUUUUGAAUUUAAUUUUUUAGUUAAAAAGCUAAAAUUUUUUUAUAGGACGAGAAGACCCUAUAGAGGUUGACUCUUUAUAUAAGUUUAUUUUUUUUGUUUAUAAAAUAUUUUCUUAGAAUAAAUUGUUAUGUUGGGGUGACAUUGAAAUUUUUUUAACUUUCAUUAUUUUUUUCAUUAAUUUAUGUAUUUUUGAUCCAGAAUUUUUGAUUAUAAGAUUAACCUACCUUAGGGAUAACAGCGUAAUUUUUUCGGAGAGUUCAUAUCGAUGAAUAAGUUUGCGA
rnacentral:rRNA from 1 species